GAAUCUGAAACAUCAGAACAGAAGGCAGUAAGGAAAGGGCUGGUGCAGCGGGGCCACUGGCACAUCUGUUCCCCUCGGCUCUAUUAACACCUGCUGUUCUUCAGUCUGAGCCCCUCACCUCCCCAGAAGACAAGAAGGGGUCGGAGUCCCCGGUUACGCAUGCCCAUUGGACCGUGAAGGAUUGUGGUGCCUGUUCAAACAUCAAACCAAGAGGGAGCUGCAGGACAAGGAGGAAACAGGAAACACGUCUGAAGACACUCAGAGGCACCUACUGAAGCCGGAAGCAGGUGCACUUUGCAAAGUGGAGAAGGAGAGACCUCAGGGGCACCUGGGGGGCCAGGCUGACAGGAGACAAGGACCCCAGGGAGCCAGGGCGCCAGGGCUCAGCAGGUGGGCUGUGGACUGGCCACGCCCAUGAGGGGAGCGGGGGGGUCAGGGGGGACCUCUAGACCGCCUGGCCCCCUCUCCCCCCAAAGGAGACCCGGGUGACUCUGGAGAGGCUGAAGGGUGACCCAUGUGGGGAGGUGAGGCCCGGCCACUUUCCCUGCCCCUUCCUGGAGUGUUCCCUCCUGCAGGAGGCCGGACAAUCCCCCCUGAGGAAGCUGCCAAGCUAGGAGGCAGGAGCAAUGGAUGCUGACCUCUGGGGCUCCCCUAGCGAGGCUAUGGGGCCACGGCGGGGGGCGGGGGGUCACCCUACUUGAGCCACAUCUGUAGAGCCAGACUCUGCCUUCUUGCCGGAGCCUCCAGCCAGUGUUUUAAUGUUCUCCUUUUAAGGAGUCACAUGUGGUCCAGGGUCAGCUGACUUUCCCAGAGAUCCUCUGUGAUAUUGUGAUUUAUAAUAAGAAAUAUAUAUUUAGGAGUUCCCACUGUGGCUCAGCAGGUUAAGAGCCUGACUAGGAGGAUGCAGCUUCAAUCCCUGGCCUCACUCAGGGAGGAUCCAGCAUUGCCAUGAGCUGUGGUGUAAGUUCCAGACGUGGUUCAGAUCCCAUGUUGCUGUGGCUAUGGUGUAGGCUGGAGGUUGCAGCUCCAAUUCAGGUCUCCUAGCCUGGAAACUUCCAUAUGCUGCGGGUGCAGCCCUAAAUAAAUAAAUAAAUAAAUAAAUAAAUAAAUAAAUAAUAUAUUAUAUUAUAUCUAUAUAGGUCUUUGGGAAUUCCCAUUGUGGCUAAGCGGUUAACGAAUCCGACUAACAUCCAUGAGGCUGUGGGUUCGAUCCUUGGCCUCGACCAGUGGGUUAAGGAUCCAGCGUUGCUGUGAGCUGUGGUGUGGGUCGCAGACGUGGCUCAGAUCCUGCAUUGCCGUGGCUCUGGCGUAGGCCGGUGGCCACAGCUCCGAUUCGACCCCCAGCCUGGGAACCUCCAUAUGCCAUGGGUGUGGCCCUAAAAAAAUAUAUACGUAUAUAUGUCUUCAUCCUGUUUAUGGCACAGAGCUCCUAAAACCCUUGGAAUUUCUUAAGUGACAAGUGUGAUAGAUGUGUCUCUUGCUAUAAUAACAAAGUAAAUUUGGAAAAGCAUCUACAGAUGGGGGCUGUUCGCCAGGAGACUCAGCCUUGCAACUGAGUGGUUAGCGGGUUGGAACUCUCGGUCCCCGUGUCCCCCAAACGGCUCAACCUCUGGGAAUGGGAGAGGGGUUAGAGGCUGAAUCUGUCUCUAGUGGCCAAUGAUCUAAUCAAUCAUGUCUGUAUAGUGAAGCCUCUACCAAGGCCGCCAAGGACAGGGUUUGGAGGCCUUCCAGGCUGGUGAACGAGGGGAGACCCGGGGAGAAUGGUGCUCUGGGAGAGGCACGCAAGCUCCGUGUCCGUCCCCAUACCCGGGCCCGUGCGUCUCUUUCAUCUGGAAGUUCCAGAGUUAUAUCCAGUAAUAAUAAGUCAGGGAUCUAUUUAAUUAAUUAAGUAGUUAAUUACUUUUUUUUGUCUUUCUAGGGCCGCAUCCACAACCUAUGGAAGUUCCCAGCCUAGGAGUUGAAUUGGAGCUGCAGCUGCCGACCUACGCCACAGCCACGGCAAUGCGCCAGAUCCGAGCCGCAUCUGCGACUGUGUCCACUGCAGGUGGCACUGCCACAACGGGAGCUCCAUCCAGUAAUUUAUUAAGUAAAUGGGUUUCCUAAGUUCUGGGAGCCGCUCUAGCAAGUUGAUGUCAAACCCAAGGAAGCAGGGCAUCACAGAACCUCCAAUUUAGAGCCAGCUGGUCAGAGCCCAGGUGACAGCCUGGCUUUCAACUGGCAUCUGAAAGAGUGUCGUGAAGAGAGUCAGUCUCGUGGCAUCUGCCUCUGUCUCCAGGAGAGAGUGUCAGAGUUGGGUGGAAGUGUAGGACCCCCAGCUGGUGUCAGAGGGUUAUCUGAAGGGGUGCCUGGGUCCCCACCCCUAAACCUGACACACGCCCUGGAAGCUGGGGAUGGGAAUUUUAGCCUCUGAACGGAAGAGACGGGAACAAAGUAAACCAACGACCUGGAGGACCUUGAGACAGCGGGAAGGGUGGGGCAGGACACAGACAGCACCAGCCCUAGAAUUCCUGUGUUCAGAGAGCCAGGGGGCCUUGCGUCCACGCUACUGGCUGCCUUCGAAGGCCAGUUCAGAAGGCAAGAGAGAUGAGAGACACAAACAAGGCAUCCAGUGGGAGGGUGGGGGGGAAGCGCCCCUGUUCACGGCUCUGGCGGCUGCCCCUGCACCUGCUGUGUCGCCUGCUGCUCUGUCUCUGCUCUUCCUGGCGUGCUGAACACAUCCUCAGCGGACUCUCGCUUCUCUCUCACUGCCAACCACCUCCGUCGGCGUGGGCCUCUGGAACGCAUAAUAUUUCUGUUCUCCGCGCUGCAAAGUGGAGGUAGAUAAGGGGUGGGGACUGAGUGUUGGGUCAGCCAGGCACCUGGCACAUUGACCUGGCCAUUCUCCUCCCGAGGACGCCCGGCUUGUCUGCCACCCCGGAUCCCGUGAUGGGCACCCUCUUUUUGGAGCCCCAGGAGGGUCUCCGGGAUGCCUUCCCUGGAGCAGAGUUCCUGGAUGGUUGGCGGGUACCUGCCUCAUUUCAUGAGUGCGCCAGAUUGCUUUCCCCGAUGGCUGAAUCCAGUUUAUUCUCCUCCUGGUGGAGCAGGAGGGGUCUCUUUUCUUCACAUCUUAGCGAGCACUGGGCAUCAUACCCCUUUCUAAUGUGUGUGUGUGACUCUAUUGGGUUCAACGCGGGCUCUCCUUUAAAAGCUGUGCUUUAUCCUGUUACCAGUGAGGGCGAGCAUGUCUCAUAGACUCACUCGCCAGCUGGGCUUCCUUUCCUACAAUUCCCAUUCAUCCGCGUCUGUCUGUGAGGGUUUCCGACUUGCAUCAGUCGUUCCUUGGAAUUCCCCGCACUCUCUUUAGAGUUUUAGGUGUGGCUUCAUCACUUCAUGUGCAGGUGGUAUCUGUCGCUGAACAGGGUCCUUAAUAUUUUUAUCAUCAAAUCUAACAUGUCUUCACCUUGUGGUUUGUGCUUUUAUUUAAGAAGACUUUACUUACUGUAAACUAAAAACUGAAAAUAGAAUUACCGUUUGAUCCAGCAAUCCCACUCCUGGGCAUCUAUCCAGAGAAAACCAUGACUCGCAGAGACACAUGUAUUCUGAUGUUCACUGCAGCACUAUUUGCAAUAGCCAAGACCUGGAAACAACCUAAAUGUCCAUCGACAGAGGAGUGGAUCAAGAAGAUGUGGUCCAUAUACACAAUGGAAUACGACUCAGCCACUAAAGGGAACGAAAUACCGGCAUUUUCCUAGAAACUCUCAUGCUAAGUGAAGUCAGCCAUACAAUGAGACACCAACAUCAAAUGCUUUCACCAACAUGUGGAAUCUGAAAAAAGGACAGACGGAACUGCUUUGCAGAACAGAUACUAACUCACAGACUUUGAAAAACUUAUGGUUUCCAAAGGAGACAGUUGGGGGGGGGGGAUGCGCUGGGGUUGUGGGAUGGAAAUCCUAUAAAAUUGGAUUGUGAUGAUCAUUGUACAACCAUAAAUGUAAUAAAUUCAUUGAGUAAC
rnacentral:lncRNA from 1 species